GGAAGGAUCAUUAUGAAAAGGAGGGCACGCCCUGCGUGCGCGGCUUGCUGCCGCCUCGGUGCCCGACGGCGUCUGCCGUUGGUGAAGAGCGCGGAACAAACCAAAAUCCCAUUGUGCACGGUAACAAAACAAAAAUUUUACACCUCGGACUGAAAAUUCUACUCUUGUCGGCGCCCGGAGACGGGCCCGGCGGAUGCGAACAGAAAACAACUUUUGACAAUGGAUCUCUUGGCUCUCGCAUCGAUGAAGAACGCAGCGAAAUGCGAUAAGUAGUGUGAAUUGCAGAAUUCAGUGAACCAUCGAAUCUUUGAACGCACAUUGCGCUCCCCGGCAUUCCGAGGAGCAUGCCUGUUUGAUGCCCGGAAAAACACGGAGCGUCGGCGCCGAACAAGGCGCCGCGCUCCACAGCUGGACGCGAUUCUCCGCGGGGGUAAAGCCCCGCGGAGUCGUCCGAAAUGCAUCGCGGGGGACGCGGCACGCUGCCUGCGCCCCGGAGAAAGCAAAACGGCCCGGUGAUGAUAAGCCGCCAAGCGCGUCCUGCCCUCACCGAGCCUUUUUCUCCGGAUAUGCGGCAGAGUCCCGGCCCCCGAAAAAGACCCCGACGGGCUUUCUUCCGUUCGUUGGGCAUCAAAUCAGGUAGGAUUACCCGCUGAACUUAAGCAUAUUAAUAAGCGGAGGAAAAGAAACUAACAAGGAUUCCCCUAGUAACGGCGAGUGAAGCGGGAUGAGCUCAAUUUUGGAAUCUGGGCACCCUGUGCUCCGAGUUGUAGUCUACAGACACGUUUUCCGGUGCGGCUUUGGAUUAAAUCCUUUGGAAUAGGGUAUCAUAGAGGGUGAGAAUCCCGUCUCUGGCCAAAGCUCCCGCAUCUCUGUGAUACGUGCUCGAAGAGUCGCGUUGUUUGGGAAUGCAGCGCAAAUCGGGUGGUAAAUUUCAUCCAAAGCUAAAUAACGGCGAGAGACCGAUAGCGAACAAGUACCGUGAGGGAAAGAUGAAAAGAACUUUGAAAGAGAGUUAAAUAGUACGUGAAAUUGUCAAAAGGGAAACGCAUGAACAUCAGAUUUUCCCGGACGGGUUCCGAGGUCCGCCCGGUGCUGUCGGGUUGCCGGUCUGCCUACGCGGCGGCCGGUUCCGCAGGCACGCCCGGUCGGGCCUUUCAGCCGUACGGGAAGUCGACAUCGGUUCGCCCUCAUGUAGAUCCGCUCCGGGAUAGUAGCCGUCCUCCGGGACGUGCGAGCCCGGGUGCGCCGAUUGUGGGGGCGGACCGAGGACCGCAGCGUCGCGGUCUUUGCGGACCGCGACCGCAGGCUCCCCGCCGCCGGGGUAGCGUCUUCCCCGACGUCAACUUGUUGACGCCGGGGAGCGCGAUCCGCGCGGCGGGCUCCAGCCUGCACUUACGCUCAGGAUGUCGACGUAAUGAUUUUAUACGACCCGUCUUGAAACACGGACCAAGGAGUCUAACAUAUAUGCGAGUAUUUGGGUGGCAAACCCAUGUGCGCAAUGAAAGUGAAUGCAGGUGGGAUCCCCAGCUUCUGGGGUGCACCAUCGACCGAUCUGGAUAUUUUUUGAUAGAUUUGAGUAAGAGCAUAUCUGUUGGGACCCGAAAGAUGGUGAACUAUACUUGAAUAGGGUGAAGUCAGAGGAAACUCUGAUGGAGGCUCGUAGCGAUUCUGACGUGCAAAUCGAUCGUCAAAUUUGAGUAUAGGGGCGAAAGACUAAUCGAACCAUCUAGUAGCUGGUUCCUGC
rnacentral:misc_RNA from 1 species